CCUACGGGAGGCUGCAGUGAGGAAUAUUGGACAAUGGGCGCAAGCCUGAUCCAGCCAUGUCGCGUGUAGGAUGAAGGCUCUAUGGUUUGUAAACUUCUUUUAUAUGGGAGUAAAGUGUGGAGCGUGUUCCUUUUUGUAUGUACCUUAUGCAUAAACAUAGGCUAACUCCGUGCCAGCCGCCGCGGUACUACGGAGGAUGCGAGCGUUAUCCGGAUUUAUUGGGUGUAAAGGGAGCGUAGCUGGGUUGUUAAGUCAGUUGUGAAAUUUUGCGGCUCAACCGUAAAAUUGCACUUGAUACUGGCAGGCUUGAGUAUAGUUGAGGGAGGUGGAAUUCGAGGUGUAGCGGUGAAAUGCGUAGAGAUCACGAAGAACUCCGAUUGCGAAGGCAGCUUACUAAACGACCACUGACAUUGAUGUUCGAAAGUGUGGGGAUCAAACAGGAUUAGAUACCCGAGUAGUC
rnacentral:rRNA from 1 species